rnacentral:rRNA from 1 species
CAGCAGCCGCGGUAAUACCGAGGGUGCGAGCGUUAAUCGGAUUUACUGGGCGUAAAGCGUGCGUAGGCGGCUUCUUAAGUCGGAUGUGAAAUCCCUGAGCUUAACUUAGGAAUUGCAUUCGAUACUGGGAAGCUAGAGUAUGGGAGAGGAUGGUAGAAUUCAAGGUGUAGCGGUGAAAUGCGUAGAGAUCUGGAGGAAUACCGAUGGCGAAGGCAGCCAUCUGGCCUAAUACUGACGCUGAGGUACGAAAGCAUGGGGAGCAAACAGGAUUAGAUACCCGGGUAGUCCCUGUCUCUUAUAC